rnacentral:lncRNA from 1 species
ACUGUGCACAUUUCUCCUACCUGUGGAAAGGACAUGGAGCCUCCACUCUGCCAGUCUUUCCCUGUAGCGUUGCCUUCUUGAACCACAGAUGUUGGAGGUCCAGCACAGUUCUCUGGGCAGGGUUGUUUUCUAGAUGAACUUAAGACUGUAGCUGGAAAACGUGAAUCUCUGCUUUGCCAGGUCCUAUGGCAGCAGAACCCCAGGAGAUGCGGCAGCCCACACAGACAAGCUUGUGUUUAAGGGCUCUGGCCAUCUGCUGUUGCUCCCCUUUCUCUGUGGCCAAAGCCCCACUCUGGAAAUUUCCAUCAUCGGUGGUCGUGUGUCGAUCACAGCACACUGGGUUCACUCCAUGGCCUCAUCCUUGGGUAGUGAGUUCCCACCCGUCCAGUGCUCCUCUCCAGCCUCAGUCACCAGCAUCUCCUACUUGGAUUAUUGCAACGGCUCCUAAGCAUCAGCAUUAAGCACCAACACAGAUGAAUCCUCCUCCUACAGACAUUAGAUCAUGUCACACCUCUGCCCAGACCUCCCAGUGGCUUCCAGUAUCAUGUUGAAUAAAAGAAAAGUCUUUCCCUGG